AGUCGAGGCAACGAAAUUGCUGGUACUACAACAAUGUGUAAAGCCUCUUAACGGUUGAAUUUGGCCAUCGUCGUUGAGGUCAGCUGUUUAAUAAUGCAUCCGUCUUCUUUUGACUUGUGAAGAAGACUAAAAUUGAAAUAAUGACCUGUCCCUGCUAUGUCACGGGCAAUGAAUUUAUUUGGUGGGAGCAUUUCACCUUCCUCAUCUGUUCAUUCCAUCCGUAGCGACCAUCAUUUGGCAAGCUCUCGUUUACCCCACUUACUGGUUCAAGUUGAAAAAAGACAUUUCACCAUCUUCAAUUGUGUGUUGUCUUCUCGAAUAUGCAUCAUCAAAGGUAAGAGCUCAUUACUUGGGCAACUCUUUGUUCAGCCAAGGCACCUGUCCAUGUUUCACAGGCAAUUUGACCAUCUUCAUCCAAUAGUCGCUCCUUCUUCUUCUCAAUUUACAUCGUCUAAGUGCCAAAGGAGAAAAAUACUUCAAUCGAGCGUUAAAUGAAGCAAUACUUCGAAAAGCAUUCCGUUAGGGUACUCUUAGCAAUGACAGAUACAGUGUUCACAAGCUGGAAGGAUUUCUUGCACGGGUUGAAGCAGCCAUAUCAGCAGCUUUAAGAGGAGAGAUGGAUGGGUAAGGAUUCAGGACUCGGCAGACGAUUGUUAGCAGGCACGCCACAUAGCAAGCAGGCCAUGAUACCUUGAAAGAAAGAUGGAGAAUGGCAAAAAUACAAGAGAUACAUAAUAUGUGUAGUUUGCAUCUAUUAUGAACAUCCAUGAGAAAAUGACUCAUGAUUCUCACUCUCGAGUUUUGGUUUAUAGCAAUAAGCAAGUUCCCAUAUUUUCUGUUA